AUGCUAACGGAAUCGGUGCAGCCAGCUGGUUUCUUCACGCAUCGCGCCAACAGAAACAAACAUCUUUCUGGUAAGAAUGGGGGCGGGGGCGUAUGCCUUAUGAUUAACGAGAUGUGGUAUGACCACAACAACAUACAGGAACUCAAGUCCUUCUGUUCACCUGACUUAGAAUUCCUCACAAUCAAAUGUCGUCCGCAUUAUCUACCAAGGGAAUUCUCUUCGAUUAAAAUCACAGUCGUAUAUAUUCCCGCCCAAGCAGACACAUCGAUGGCCCUGAACAAACUUUAUUUGACUCUUUGCAAACUGGAAACCACAUAUCCUGAGGCUGCAUUCAUUGUAGCUGGGGAUUUUAACAAGGCUAAUCUGAAAACAAGACUCCCUAAAUUGUAUCAGCAUAUCGAUUGCGCAACCAGGGCUGGUAAAACCUUGGAUCAUUGCUAUUCUAUCUUCCGCAACGCAGAUAAGGCCCUCCCCCACCCUCCUUUCGGAAAAGCUGACCACAACUCAAUUUUGUUGCUUCCUGCCUACAGACAGAAACUAAAACAAGAAGCUCCCGCGCUCAGGUCUGUUCAACGCUGGUCCGACCAAUCUGAUUCCACGCUUCAAGACUGCUUCGAUCACGUGGAUUGGGAUAUGUUCCGCAUUGCGUCCAACAACAACAUUGACGAAUACGCUGAUUCGGUGAGCGAGUUCAUUAGAAAGUGCAUUGAUGAUGUCGUUCCCAUAGCAACAAUUAAAACAUUCCCAAACCAGAAACCGUGGAUUGAUGGCAGCAUUCGCGUGAAACUGAAAGCGCGAACCACUGCUUUUAACCAGGGAAAGGUGACCGGAAACAUGACCGAAUACAAACAGUGUAGCUAUUCCCCCCGCAAGGCAAUCAAACAAGCUAAGCGUCAGUAUAGAGACAAAGUAGAGUCACAAUUCAACGGCUCAGACACAAAAGGUAUGUGGCAGGGUCUACAGUCAAUCCCGGAUUACAAAAAGAAAAACCAGCCCCGUCACGGACCAGUAUGUCUUGCUCCCAGGCAGACUAAAUAA
rnacentral:lncRNA from 1 species